rnacentral:rRNA from 1 species
UACGUAGGUGGCAAGCGUUGUCCGGAUUUACUGGGCGUAAAGGGCGCGUAGGCGGUCGUGACAAGUCACUUGUGAAAUCUCCGGGCUUAACUCGGAACGGUCAAGUGAUACUGACGGACUAGAGUACAGAAGGGGCAACUGGAAUUCUCGGUGUAGCGGUGAAAUGCGUAGAUAUCGAGAGGAACACCUGCGGCGAAGGCGGGUUGCUGGGCUGAUACUGACGCUGAGGCGCGAAAGCCAGGGGAGCGAACGGG